GAUGAACGCUGGCGGCGUGCCUAAUACAUGCAAGUCGAGCGAACGGACGAGAAGCUUGCUUCUCUGAUGUUAGCGGCGGACGGGUGAGUAACACGUGGAUAACCUACCUAUAAGACUGGGAUAACUUCGGGAAACCGGAGCUAAUACCGGAUAAUAUUUUGAACCGCAUGGUUCAAAAGUGAAAGACGGUCUUGCUGUCACUUAUAGAUGGAUCCGCGCUGCAUUAGCUAGUUGGUAAGGUAACGGCUUACCAAGGCAACGAUGCGUAGCUGACCUGAGAGGGUGAUCGGCCACACUGGAACUGAGACACGGUCCAGACUCCUACGGGAGGCAGCAGUAGGGAAUCUUCCGCAAUGGGCGAAAGCCUGACGGAGCAACGCCGCGUGAGUGAUGAAGGUCUUCGGAUCGUAAAACUCUGUUAUUAGGGAAGAACAUAUGUGUAAGUAACUGUGCACAUCUUGACGGUACCUAAUCAGAAAGCCACGGCUAACUACGUG
rnacentral:rRNA from 1 species